GUGCUUGUUUGCGUUUAGGUUGGCGACCCUUUUAAGGCAUGGGUCGCAGGUUCGAGUCCUGCCGCGCUCACCA
rnacentral:tRNA from 1 species